rfam:Corynebacterium jeikeium plasmid pB85766, complete sequence.
GCUUUCUCCCAGAUUGCGCCUGGGUGAUAAGCGAGCGUCGAACUGGUUGCAGCCGGUUCGGCGCUCAUUUUUUCGUUU